rnacentral:rRNA from 1 species
AGCACCUUCGUGGUGUGACUGCGUACCUUUUGUAUAAUGGGUCAGCGACUUAUAUUCAGUAGCGAGGUUAACCGAAUAGGGGAGCCGUAGAGAAAUCGAGUCUUAAUAGGGCGUAUAGUUGCUGGGUAUAGACCCGAAACCAGGCGAUCUAUCCAUGAGCAGGUUGAAGGUUGGGUAACACUAACUGGAGGACCGAACCCACUGUCGUUGAAAAGCCAGGGGAUGACUUGUGGAUAGGGGUGAAAGGCUAAUCAAGCCUGGUGAUAGCUGGUUCUCCCCGAAAGCUAUUUAGGUAGCGCCUCGGACGAAUACCAUUGGGGGUAGAGCACUGUUUCGGCUAGGGGGUCAUCCCGACUUACCAAACCGAUGCAAACUCCGAAUACCAAUGAGUACUAUCCGGGAGACAGACUGCGGGUGCUAACGUCCGUAGUCAAGAGGAAAACAAUCCAGACCGCCAGCUAAGGCCCCAAAAUCAUAGUUAAGUGGGAAACGAUGUGGGAAGGCAUAGACAGCUAGGAGGUUGGCUUAGAAGCAGCCACCCUUUAAAGAAAGCGUAAUAGCUCACUAGUCGAGUCGGCCUGCGCGGAAGAUGUAACGGGGCUAAAACUAUGUGCCGAAGCUGCGGAUUUGACAUUAGUCAAGUGGUAGGGGAGCGUUCUGUAAGCCGAUGAAGGUGUAUUGAGAAGUAUGCUGGAGGUAUCAGAAGUGCGAAUGCUGACGUGAGUAACGACAAAACGGGUGAAAAACCCGUUCGCUGAAAGACCAAGGGUUCCAGUCCAACGUUAAUCGGGGCUGGGUGAGUCGACCCCUAAGGCGAGGCCGAGAGGCGUAGUCGAUGGGAAAUUGGUUAAUAUUCCAAUACUUCUGUGUAAUGCGAUGAGAGGACGGAGAAGGUUAAGUCAGCCUGGCGUUGGUUGUCCAGGUGGAAGACAGUAGGCAUGCAUCUUAGGCAAAUCCGGGGUGCUCUAUGCUGAGAGUCGAUAGCAAGCUGUACUUGUACAGUGAAGUGGCUGAUACCAUGCUUCCAGGAAAAGUCUCUAAGCUUCAGUUACACAGGAAUCGUACCCGAAACCGACACAGGUGGUCAGGUCGAGUAGACCAAAGCGCUUGAGAGAACUCUGCUGAAGGAACUAGGCAAAAUGGUACCGUAACUUCGGGAGAAGGUACGCUGCUGACGGUGAUGGGACUUGCUCCCUGAGCUAUUGGCAGCCACAGAAACCAGGCCGCUGCAACUGUUUAUUAAAAACAUAGCACUCUGCAAACACGAAAGUGGACGUAUAGGGUGUGAUGCCUGCCCGGUGCUGGAAGGUUAAUUGAUGGGGUUAGCGUAAGCGAAGCUCUUGAUCGAAGCCCCAGUAAACGGCGGCCGUAACUAUAACGGUCCUAAGGUAGCGAAAUUCCUUGUCGGGUAAGUUCCGACCUGCACGAAUGGCAUAAUGAUGGCGGCGCUGUCUCCAGCAGAGGCUCAGUGAAAUCGAAAUCGCUGUGAAGAUGCAGUGUACCCGCGGCUAGACGGAAAGACCCCGUGAACCUUUACUGCAGCUUGACAUUGAACUUUGACCUUACUUGUGUAGGAUAGGUGGGAGGCUUUGAAGUUGGAACGCUAGUUCCAAUGGAGCCGUCCUUGAAAUACCACCCUGGUAAUGUUGAGGUUCUAACUCUGUCCCGUUAUCCGGGACGAGGACCAUGUCUGGUGGGUAGUUUGACUGGGGCGGUCUCCUCCUAAAGAGUAACGGAGGAGUACGAAGGUGCGCUCAGCGUGGUCGGAAAUCACGCGUAGAGUAUAAAGGCAAAAGCGCGCUUAACUGCGAGACCCACAAGUCGAGCAGGUACGAAAGUAGGUCUUAGUGAUCCGGUGGUUCUGUAUGGAAGGGCCAUCGCUCAACGGAUAAAAGGUACUCUGGGGAUAACAGGCUGAUACCGCCCAAGAGUUCAUAUCGACGGCGGUGUUUGGCACCUCGAUGUCGGCUCAUCUCAUCCUGGGGCUGAAGCAGGUCCCAAGGGUAUGGCUGUUCGCCAUUUAAAGAGGUACGCGAGCUGGGUUUAGAACGUCGUGAGACAGUUCGGUCCCUAUCUACCGUGGGCGCUGGAAAUUUGAGAGGAUCUGCUCCUAGUACGAGAGGACCAGAGUGGACGAACCUCUGGUGUACCGGUUGUGACGCCAGUCGCAUCGCCGGGUAGCUAUGUUCGGAAGGGAUAACCGCUGAAAGCAUCUAAGCGGGAAGCCUACCUCAAGAUAAGAUUUCCCUAGGAAUUUAUUCCUCUAAAGAGCCGUUCGAGACUAGGACGUUGAUAGGUUGGGUGUGGAAGCACGGUGACGUGUGAAGCUGACCAAUACUAAUUGCUCGUGAGGCUUGACUAU